UCCUUUGAAAUCUCGCGAGACUUGAGGUCACGAGAGUUGCGCUGCUCCAUGCGGGAUAUUCCAGACAGACUCCCUAUCGCUUAUCAGGUGUGUGGGGGAAGCAGGACCAUGAGCAGCUGCAGAUGCGUCCACUGCCGAUGAAAAACUCUCCGACUGUGAUUCGUGUUACAAGUAAACAAAGGAAUUGGCCAGGUUUUGUGGGGGUUUAGGGGUAAGACCUGCCGAUUGGAAACAACCCAGCAGCCCAGCCUGUGAACUCUCCUCACUCUGACAACCUACACCUGGAUGUGCGGUAGGAGGCUCUGCAGCCGAUCCUUUCACUCACUCCCACCACCUCCAACGUGCUC